GAUGAACGCUGGCGGCGUGCUUAACACAUGCAAGUCGAACGGGAAUUACUUUAUUGAAACUUCGGUCGAUUUAAUUUAAUUCUAGUGGCGGACGGGUGAGUAACGCGUGGGUAACCUGCCUUGUACAGGGGGAUAACAGUCAGAAAUGACUGCUAAUACCGCAUAAGCGCACAGGACCGCAUGGUCCGGUGUGAAAAACUCCGGUGGUAUAAGAUGGACCCGCGUUGGAUUAGCUAGUUGGUGGGGUAACGGCCUACCAAGGCGACGAUCCAUAGCCGGCCUGAGAGGGUGAACGGCCACAUUGGGACUGAGACACGGCCCAGACUCCUACGGGAGGCAGCAGUGGGGAAUAUUGCACAAUGGGGGAAACCCUGAUGCAGCGACGCCGCGUGAAGGAAGAAGUAUCUCGGUAUGUAAACUUCUAUCAGCAGGGAAGAAAAUGACGGUACCUG
rnacentral:rRNA from 1 species